GUUGAAUUUGCUGCUGAGCAUGUCCUUCCACUACUGUUACCACUUCUCAUUGCAACAAUUGAAAGGUCACCACUUUGCUGAAAGAUAUCCUCAGGAAAAUAGAAGAAAAGCGAGGUGUUUCUGUGACUGAUUCUGGAACUCCCAAAAUUAGGCAACAUCUGUACUAAAUGGAACUCCAUCUCAACCAUCUGUGAAAACAAGCCAACCUGUUUCUUCUGCACAAAUAGACCAGCAUGGGAUGUAGAUUGCGGUCCCAUAAAAAAAGAGAUCAAUUUCCGCCAAUCGUCUGAAACUAGCUGACCUUGCGGGUUCCACAAGUCAACAGAUUCCUUCACCAUGUCCCUCAAUCGACUUAGAGUGGCCUCCUCGAGUUCAGGUGCUUCUCUCACUUAGGCGACAUUGAGAAACAGAAACCAAACACUGAAUCGUUUAGCCAAUUGGCCCCAAGAUCUAGUAACUUAUAAACUAGUUGGGGCUUUGCCUCAAAUAGUGCCAUGGGAUGAGCAAUGGAACUCUUUCUUUGAUGCAACUAAUCAGACCAUUGGGUGCAAGAGCACGCACAGUUCUUCAGGGUACUCACAUUUCUUCAGGGUGUUCAAGACAGAAUCAGGGUGCUCAAGACAGAAUCAGGGUACUCACAGUUCUUCAGGGUGCUCAAGACAGAAUCAGGGUACUCACAGUUCUUCAGGGUACCCCUUACUGGCCUGCGGAGAGGGGGCAAGACCCACCAAUUCAAAACGUGUGUGCUGGUGACGGAUUAAAUUACUUAUAUAACUCAAAAAGUAAUAAGAAGGUGUUUAGACUUUGGAACUGUAUAUAUCCCGGCUUGAAUAAAUUACUUUUCGACUU